rnacentral:rRNA from 1 species
CCUACGGGAGGCUGCAGUGGGGAAUAUUGGACAAUGGGGGGAACCCUGAUCCAGCCAUGCCGCGUGUGUGAAGAAGGCCCUCGGGUUGUAAAGCACUUUCAGUGAGGAAGAACGCCUGGUGGUUAAUACCCAUCAGGAAAGACAUCACUCACAGAAGAAGCACCGGCUAACUCCGUGCCAGCAGCCGCGGUAAUACGGAGGGUGCGAGCGUUAAUCGGAAUUACUGGGCGUAAAGCGCGCGUAGGUGGCUUGAUAAGCCGGUUGUGAAAGCCCCGGGCUCAACCUGGGAACGGCAUCCGGAACUGUCAAGCUAGAGUGCAGGAGAGGAGGGUAGAAUUCCCGGUGUAGCGGUGAAAUGCGUAGAGAUCGGGAGGAAUACCAGUGGCGAAGACGGCCUUCUGGACUGACACUGACACUGAGGUGCGAAAGCGUGGGUAGCAAACAGGAUUAGAUACCCGAGUAGUC